rnacentral:rRNA from 1 species
CCGGCUCAAUGUGUGAAUCUGACUUGGGGUAAACCCGUGUCCGAGUUGUGCACUAUGGACGUUUCGUCUGCGUAUGUAACGGCGGUGGAAGUCCGUUGAAACACGGCACCUCAGAGGGUCACAGUCCUGUACCACCUGCCUGCACUCGCGCCAAUGACAAGCGCUCCUCGAGUCGCGUAGUUUUGUAAUGCUGCGCCAAGUGGGAGGUAGAGACCUUCUAAGGCUAAAUAUGAUGACGUGACCGAUAGCACA